UACGGAGGGGCAAGCGUUGUUCGGAAUUACUGGGCGUAAAGGGCGCGCAGGCGCGUGCUCAAGUCAGGCGUGAAAGGCCUGGCUCAACCCGGGAAUUGCGCUUGGAGACUGGGCUGGCUUGAGUGCGGGAGAGGAGGGUGGAAUUCCUGGUGUAGCGGUGAAAUUCGUAGAUAUUCGCAAGAACACCAGUGGCGAAGGCGGCUCACUGGCCCGGUACUGACGCUGAGGUGCGAAAGCGUGGGGAGCAAAGCAGG
rnacentral:rRNA from 1 species